GCCCCGGUGAUGGAAUUGGUAGACAUACUGGAUUAUCAAUCCAGUGAGAUGCAUUCUCGUGAGGGUUCAAAUCCCUCCCGGGGUAC
rnacentral:tRNA from 1 species